ACCGACCGAAUGCUCUCCCCUAAUCCUACAUGUUCUUUUUCAGGUACAAAUCAGGUCUAACAACAAUUCGUGAUUGACCAUAAAAGUGAAUGCAAUAACUAAAAUAAAAAUUAAAUUCAAACUCGUACAUUUUCAAAAUGUCAAUUUCCCACGAAUCAAAGCGACUUUUUUAAAGCUCAUGUCAUAUGUAACCUGAAGUCAAUGCUCUUGAAGAUCAAGAGAAGCUUCUUUUCAUUCAGUAUUUCGAGUUGUCAAUUUUAGUAAUGAUCACACACACACA
rnacentral:misc_RNA from 1 species